GUACCUGUGUCUCAGUUGGUAGAGCAUGGUGUUUGCAACGCCAGGGUUGUGGGUUCGAUCCCCACGGGGGGCC
rnacentral:tRNA from 1 species